UACGUAGGGUGCAAGCGUUGUCCGGAAUUAUUGGGCGUAAAGAGCUCGUAGGCGGUCUGUCACGUCGGCUGUGAAAACUCGAGGCUCAACCUCGAGCCUGCAUUCGAUACUGGGCGGCUAGAGUCUGGUAGGGGGAUCUGGAAUUCCUGGUGUAGCGGUGGAAUGCGCAGAUAUCAGGAGGAACACCGGUGGCGAAGGCGGGAUCCUGGGCCAGUACUGACGCUGAGGAGCGAAAGCGUGGGGAGCAAACAGG
rnacentral:rRNA from 1 species